AUGAACGCUAGCGACAGGCUUAACACAUGCAAGUCGAGGGGUAACAGGGUAGCAAUACCGCUGACGACCGGCGCACGGGUGAGUAACGCGUAUGCAACCUGCCUAUAACUGGGGAAUAGCUCCCUGAAAGGGGAAUUAACACCGCAUAACACUAUUGAUUCGCAUGGAUUAGUAGUUAAAUGUAGCGAUACAGGUUAUAGAUGGGCAUGCGUGACAUUAGCUAGUUGGUGAGGUAACGGCUCACCAAGGCUACGAUGUCUAGGGGUUCUGAGAGGAAGGUCCCCCCACACUGGUACUGAGACACGGACCAGACUCCUACGGGAGGCAGCAGUGAGGAAUAUUGGUCAAUGGGCGCAAGCCUGAACCAGCCAUGUCGCGUGCAGGAAGAACCUGCCCUAUGGGUUGUAAACUGCUUUUAUAGUAGAAGAAACACAUCUACGUGUAGAUGUCUGCCAGUAUACUAUGAAUAAGCAUCGGCUAACUCCGUGCCAGCCGCGGC
rnacentral:rRNA from 1 species